GGAAGCUUAGUUGGUAGUGCGUCUGCCUUGUAAGCGCUAGGCCGCGGGUUCGAUUCCCGUCC
rfam:Asian citrus Psyllid, Diaphorina citri - Florida Strain, whole genome shotgun sequence.